rnacentral:snRNA from 1 species
AGAUGUAAAGGUGAUCUGGCUGCAACAUCUGCCACUCCAUUGAUCGCCAGGGUUGAUUGGGCUAGUCUGGCUGGCUAGACAGGCGUUCCCUUCUUCUCUCAUUGCUCCAUGUGCAUCCCUCUCAAAGCUGCAUGCUCGGUGGAAGAGGACGAACAUGCCCAAUAAAGGAGGACUGGCCUUCUGUCAAGAGUGUUCUAGGUGCGCUCCCCUGCCAGAACUUCCAAACAAAUCCUCAAGAAUGGUGAUUUACCAUGUAGAUUUUAAAUUCGCUUUGCUGGAAAUUUUUGUGAGGAAUUCCAGAUUGGACUUCUAAAGCCUCUUAAGGAUAGGAGGACUAGCCAGACAUUUG